UACGUAGGGUGCGAGCGUUAAUCGGAAUUACUGGGCGUAAAGCGUGCGCAGGCGGUUUCGUUAUGUCCGAUGUGAAAGCCCCGAGCUCAACUUGGGAAUGGCAUUGGAAACUGGCGGGCUGGAGUGUGGCAGAGGGGGGUGGAAUUCCACGUGUAGCAGUGAAAUGCGUAGAGAUGUGGAGGAACACCGAUGGCGAAGGCAGCCCCUGGGCCAACACUGACGCUCAGGCACGAAAGCGUGGGAGCAAACAGG
rnacentral:rRNA from 1 species